rnacentral:rRNA from 1 species
AUGGCGCAUAGAUGGAUGAUGAAAUUGUUAAUGUGGCUGUCCGUUCCCCAAACGACGAGGUGCACGCUUCCCGUCCAGCUCACUGUUGCCUCGCCGUCGUUCCUCAGUUGGAUCGGGAGAGGGGCGUCACUGGCGGUUGGACCAGAGAAGAAAGCGACUAGAGAGGGAACUAACGAUGGGAGAGGUGAUUUCUUGCUUCCUUUGUCUGAUCAUCUGUACGCGAUGUCUUUUACCGUUCUCCUCUCAUCAAGGUCUUCUGUUGUCCUGCUGCUCAUUUACGCUCAUUUUCUUGUUGGGAUGCGGUUAGUGUUUGGUGCUGGAUCCAAAAGUAAUUGCCGUCUACUGUUGCCCUUGAUUCUUGACUAUCGGAUUGCUGGUCCCAUAAGAGCCACAAUCGCACAAGGAAAUCUAAACAGCCGACUGGGUAUUGAUAAGAAAUACCAAUUUAAGAGGACCGUGAGAGAGCUCGGAGGGAAGAACGCAGUUGAUGACCAUAUUUGGUGCCUUCUUGUGCAAACAGUGGAAGCCUUUAAGUGA